GCUGAAAAUCCAGCCCAUUAAACCCGUAUAAACCCACUCACUUUAUUUAACCAACCAAAACAUUCUAAUACUUUAGUACAGGCGAUUGAAAAAUUUAGUGGCGCAAUAAAAAUAGUACCGCAAGGGAAAGAUGAAAUAAAAAUGAAAUAAAUCUCAAGCGCGAAAAAGUAGAGACCCCCCCUCGUACCUUUUGCAUCAUGAUUUAACUAGUCUAAUCAAGCAUAAAGCAUUUCAGUUUGACUUCCCGAAACCAAGCGAGCUACUUCAAGGCAGCUUCAUGAGCAAACCCGUCUCUGUUGCAAAAGAGUGGGAAGACCUUCAAGUAGAGGUGACAGACCUAACGAGCUUGGUGAUAGCUGGUUUCUCAAGAAAAGGAUUUUAGUCCAACCUAAAGGCCCCCCCCCAUUUUAAAAAAUUUUCAUUAGGCUUUUAGAGCAAUUCAAAUAAGGUACAGCCUAUUUGAAACAGGAUACAACCUCAACUGACGGGUAACAAAUUUUUUUUAUCAACCAAGUAGGCCUAAAAGCAGCCACCUUAAAAAAGCGUCAAAGCUUAAUUGAAAAAUCAAACUAAUCCCCCUUAUUUCCAUCAACCCUCUACCAAUAUUGAGUAAUUCUAUAUUUUUAUAGAACCUAUUAUGUUAAAACUAGUAACAAGAAGCUAACCCUUCUCCUAGGUGCAAAUGUAAAUCAGAAAGGAUAAACCACUGAUAAUUAACGUGUUUGAGCUAACAUUAAUAACUUUCCAAGAAAAUCCUAACUAUUAUCACGUUAACCUAACACAAGACCACCUCAAGAAAGAUUAAAAGAAAAAGAAGGAACUCGGCAAAUCUUAACCCCGCCUGUUUACCAAAAACAUCGCCUCUUGCAUAAAAAUAAGAGGUCCAGCCUGCCCAGUGACCACCACAGUUCAACGGCCGCGGUAUCCUAACCGUGCGAAGGUAGCGUAAUCACUUGUUCUCUAAAUAAGGACUAGUAUGAAUGGCAUCACGAGGGUUACACUGUCUCCUUUUUCUAAUCAGUAAAACUAUUCUCCCCGUGAAGAAACGGGGAUAUUUAUAUAAGACGAGAAGACCCUAUGGAGCUUUAAAUUUUUCUACAUAUUGCUCUUUCAUUUAAUUUGUCCCGACUUCUUACUUUCAACCGAGCAUACUGAUAGCAAAUUUUAGGUUGGGGUGACCGCGGAGCAUAAAAGAACCUCCGCACAGAACAGGCUUAAGCCUUGAGUUAAGAGCCACGACUCCAAACACUAAUAUAUUAACAUUCAUUGACCCAAUAUUUUUGAUCAACGAACCAAGUUACCCUAGGGAUAACAGCGCAAUCUACUUUGAGAGCCCUUAUCGACAAGUGGGUUUACGACCUCGAUGUUGGAUCAGGGUAUCCCAGUGGUGCAGCCGCUACUAAAGGUUCGUUUGUUCAACGAUUAAAACCCU
rnacentral:rRNA from 1 species